CCUAUGCUGCCGAGAAAAGCCUCUAGCGAGCUGGUACAUGGCCCGUACCCCAAACCGACACAGGUGGUCGGGUAGAGAAUACUAAGGCGAUCGAGAGAACUGUGGUUAAGGAACUCGGCAAAAUGCCCCCGUAACUUCGGGAGAAGGGGGACCAGUCCUGGUGACGACAUUUACUGUCUGAGCUGGGGUUGGUCGCAGAGACCAGAGAGAAGCGACUGUUUACUAAAAACACAGGUCCGUGCGAAGUCGUAAGACGAUGUAUACGGACUGACGCCUGCCCGGUGCUGGAAGGUUAAGAGGACCGGUCAGCCACUUCGGUGGCGAAGCAGAGAAUUUAAGCCCCAGUAAACGGCGGUGGUAACUAUAACCAUCCUAAGGUAGCGAAAUUCCUUGUCGGGUAAGUUCCGACCUGCACGAAUGGCGUAACGACUUCUCUGCUGUCUCAACCACAGACUCGGCGAAAUUGCAGUACGAGUAAAGAUGCUCGUUACGCGCGGCAGGACGAAAAGACCCCGGGACCUUCACUAUAGCUUGGUAUUGGUGUUCGGUUCGGUUUGUGUAGGAUAGGUGGGAGACUGUGAAACUCGCACGCCAGUGUGGGUGGAGUCAUUGUUGAAAUACCACUCUGACCGUAUUGGACAUCUAACCUCGGACCAUGAUCUGGUUCAGGGACAGUGCCUGGUGGGUAGUUUAACUGGGGCGGUUGCCUCCCAAAAAGUAACGGAGGCGCCCAAAGGUUCCCUCAGCCUGGUUGGCAAUCAGGUGUUGAGUGUAAGUGCACAAGGGAGCUUGACUGUGAGACGUACAUGUCGAGCAGGGACGAAAGUCGGGACUAGUGAUCCGGCACCGGCAAGUGGAAGCGGUGUCGCUCAACGGAUAAAAGGUACCCCGGGGAUAACAGGCUGAUCUUCCCCAAGAGUCCAUAUCGACGGGAUGGUUUGGCACCUCGAUGUCGGCUCGUCGCAUCCUGGGGCUGGAGUAGGUCCCAAGGGUUGGGCUGUUCGCCCAUUAAAGCGGCACGCGAGCUGGGUUUAGAACGUCGUGAGACAGUUCGGUCUCUAUCCGCCGCGCGCGUAAGAAACUUGAGGAAACCUGUCCCUAGUACGAGAGGACCGGGACGGACGAACCUCUGGUGUGCCAGUUGUUCCACCAGGAGCACCGCUGGUUAGCUACGUUCGGAAGGGAUAACCGCUGAAAGCAUCUAAGCGGGAAGCCUGUUCCAAGAUGAGGUCUCUCACCACCUAGCGUGGUUAAGGCCCCCCACAGACCAUGGGGUUGAUAGGCCAGAACUGUAAGCACAGCAAUGUGUUCAGGUGACUGGUACUAAUCGGCCGAGGACUUACAACG
rnacentral:rRNA from 1 species